GCCUUCUUCAUUAACCCAAAUUUCCUCUUCGUAAAUGUCACCUGGAAAGAAAAAGAAAAAAAAGAAAAGAAAAAAAAAGCCUCUGUCAACGUACUGUGAAGAAAAAGUGGAUUGCCACCAAAUACAAAUUCAGGAAUUUUAAACAUACACUUCCCAUAGCACUGGCCUCACGUAUGCAUAACUGACAAACCAGGGUCUAACAGCUCUCACCUCAAGACCUGUAAGAGGAAAUUUUCUACUGGAAUGGAAGGUGUUUACCACAGAGAUACACCUACC
rnacentral:lncRNA from 1 species